AAACCUUCGCAACAAUAAUCUCUCUGUUGAAAUACCAUUGUCACUUAAAUAUUGCAUAAGCUUGAAGGUACUUGACUUGAGUGAAAAUGAAUUGGGUGGAGACAUUUCAACAUGGUUGGAGAAGUUCCUAUGGGACUAUUCAAGUAUGGCUAUUUUCAUUCUUCGUGGGAAUAGAUUUCAUGGUCACAUAACUGAAAAGUUUUGCCACAUGACUGGUUUGCAAAUCUUGGAUCUUGCUAA
rnacentral:misc_RNA from 1 species